AUACGGAGGAUCCGAGCGUUAUCCGGAUUUAUUGGGUUUAAAGGGAGCGUAGGCGGGAGAUCAAGUCAGCUGUGAAAUGUAGAUGCUCAACAUCUGCACUGCAGUUGAAACUGGUUUUCUUGAGUGCGUAAGGGGCAGGCGGAAUUCGUCGUGUAGCGGUGAAAUGCUUAGAUAUGACGAAGAACUCCGAUCGCGAAGGCGGCCGGCCUGGCCGCGACUGACGCUGAAGCUCGAAGGUGCGGGUAUCGAACAGGAUUAGAUACCCUGGUAGUCCGCACAGUAAACGAUGGAUACUCGCUGUCGGCGAUAUACGGUCGGUGGCCAAGCGAAAGCGUUAAGUAUCCCACCUGGGGAGUACGCUGGCAACGGUGAAACUCAAAUGAAUUGGCGGGG
rnacentral:rRNA from 1 species